CGUUUAAAAAAAAAAGAUUUAAAAAUAAUCGGUAUACAGAGAAGAUUAGCAUGGCCCUUGCGCAAGGAUGACAUGCAAAUUCGUGAAGCAUUCCAUAAAAAA
ensembl:snRNA U6 U6 spliceosomal RNA